rnacentral:lncRNA from 1 species
AUGGGAACCUGGUUAAGUAACUUUCCCAUGGUGGCACAGCCUGAGUGGUUCAGUCAGGAUUGGGACUUAGUCCAGAAUCUAGGAAAGACGCUGCACAAGACUUGCCCAAGGCACCCUGUUAGUGGCAAAGGCAGGACCAACUCCAGAGGACUCUUUCCUCAAAGUAUAUUUACUGAGGGGGAGGUCUCACUGUGCCACCGCGGGGGCUGGCUCUGGGGGGCUGUGGUGUUGAGGAGCCAGGCCUGGAAGAGGAGGGGGGAGAUCUUCAGGAUUCUGCUCCAGGCCUGGCUGGGGGUGUCACUGCUCCCUAACUACAUGGAGGCUCCAGGUGGCCCCUCUUGUCUCUGCGUGGGUGUUCUUGUCUCCGUGUGGACAUUGUUGUCCCAGUGUGGAUGCUCUUGUCUCUGUGUGGAUGCUCUUGCCUCCGUGUGGACGCUCUUGUCUCCGUGUGGACUCUCGUCUCAGUGUGGACGUUCUUAUCUCUGUGUGGACACUCUUGUCUCCAUGUGGACAUUCUUGUCUCUGUGUGGACGCUCUUGUCUCCGUGUGGACGCUCUUGUCUCCAUGUGGACGCUCUUGUCUCCAUGUGGACAUUGUUGUCUCAGUGGGGAGGUUGUUGUCUCCGUGUGGACGCUCUUGUCUCCGUGUGGACGCUCUUGUCUCCGUGUGGACGCUCUUCUCUCAGUGUGGACGCUCUUGUCUCCGUGUGGACGCUCGUGUCUCCGUGUGGACACUCUUGUCUCCGUGUGGACGCUCUUCUCUCAGUGUGGACGCUCUUGUCUCCAUGUGGACACUCUUGUCUCCGUGUGGACGCUCUUGUCUCCGUGUGGACCUUAUUGUCUCCGUGUGGAUGCUCUUCUCUCAGUGUGGACGCUCUUGUCUCCAUGUGGACGUUCUUGUCUCCAUGUGGACAUUGUUGUCUCAGUGGGGAGGUUGUUGUCUCCCUGUGGACAUUAUUGUCUCCGUGUGGACGUUCUUGUCUCCGUGUGGACGCUCUUGUCUCCGUGUGGACGCUCGUGUCUCCGUGUGCACGCUCUUGUCUCCGUGUGGACGCUCUUCUCUCAGUGUGGACGCUCUUGUCUCAGCAGCUGCUUUUUGGUGCUUCUGACAUCUCCCAGGAGCCUCCAGUCAGCACCACCCUCUCAAGCCGUAGCAUAUUUGCAGGGAAGUCUGAGAAAGAGUUACAAACUCCACCAGCCCAGAGCUCCUGGGGUCCUUGCAGGCUCUAGCCUCUCGAGUUUGUCUCACUGA